AAAUUAAUGGGAAAAUGUGGCUGUGUAUAAACUUUCACUGACAGACACAUUUUCUGACAGAGCCACGUGGUGAUGUGCAGAGAGGAUUUGGAUGAAGAGGAGCUGCUGGAAGCUGUGGAGUUGUUUCUGUGAAAAACGUUUCGGAAUGCAGAAGGGAGGAACGAGAGAGAGGCUGAUUUAAGUCAGAGACUUCAAAGAAAUGAAGGUUUGAUGCGACUGUCCUUGCAGGCUGAGAACAAAACGGGCCUGAAUAAGCACAGAGGGGAGGCGAGGUUCAGGGUGAGCUCCUAAUCACCUGCUGUAUUUACAGGAGAGAAGACAACAGGAGAAGUUAGGGAAGAU
rnacentral:lncRNA from 10 species